rnacentral:rRNA from 1 species
UAGGGAAUUUUCGUCAAUGGGGGAAACCCUGAACGAGCAAUGCCGCGUGAGUGAAGAAGGUCUUCGGAUCGUAAAGCUCUGUUGUAAGUGAAGAACGGCUCAUAGAGGAAAUGCUAUGGGAGUGACGGUAGCUUACCAGAAAGCCACGGCUAACUACGUGCCAGCAGCCGCGGUAAUACGUAGGUGGCAAGCGUUAUCCGGAAUCAUUGGGCGUAAAGGGUGCGUAGGUGGCGUACUAAGUCUGUAGUAAAAGGCAAUGGCUCAACCAUUGUAAGCUAUGGAAACUGGUAUGCUGGAGUGCAGAAGAGGGCGAUGGAAUUCCAUGUGUAGCGGUAAAAUGCGUAGAUAUAUGGAGGAACACCAGUGGCGAAGGCGGUCGCCUGGUCUGUAACUGACACUGAGGCACGAAAGCGUGGGGAGCAAAUAGGAUUAGAUACCCUAGUAGUCCACGCCGUAAACGAUGAGAACUAAGUGUUGGAGGAAUUCAGUGCUGCAGUUAACGCAAUAAGUUCUCCGCCUGGGGAGUAUGCACGCAAGUGUGAAACUCAAAGGAAUUGACGGGGGCCCGCACAAGCGGUGGAGUAUGUGGUUUAAUUCGAAGCAACGCGAAGAACCUUACCAGGCCUUGACAUGGAAACAAAUACCCUAGAGAUAGGGGGAUAAUUAUGGAUCACACAGGUGGUGCAUGGUUGUCGUCAGCUCGUGUCGUGAGAUGUUGGGUUAAGUCCCGCAACGAGCGCAACCCUUGUCGCAUGUUACCAGCAUCAAGUUGGGGACUCAUGCGAGACUGCCGGUGACAAACCGGAGGAAGGUGGGGAUGACGUCAAAUCAUCAUGCCCCUUAUGGCCUGGGCUACACACGUACUACAAUGGCGACCACAAAGAGCAGCGACUUGGUGACAAGAAGCGAAUCUCAUAAAGGUCGUCUCAGUUCGGAUUGAAGUCUGCAACUCGACUUCAUGAAGUCGGAAUCGCUAGUAAUCGCAGAUCAGCAUGCUGCGGUGAAUACGUUCUC